GAAGGAUCUUAACAUGCAUAAGAGGUAUUGGAUAGAGCUCCUGAAGGACUACAAUUUUAAGAUCUUGUAUCACCUAAGUAAGGGUAAUGUGGUAGCUAACACACUCAUGGAGAAAAGUGCACGUAUGUUAGCUCACAUAAUGGUUUCUGAAUGUAGGGUAAUAAGGGUUGCGCAACAGAUACAGCUUCAAAAUUUGAAAAGGGCCGCAUGAUUGGCCCAUCUAGCUGUUCAACUC
rnacentral:lncRNA from 1 species